UACACUGCUGCUUUUAAUCUGGAGCACAGGGAGCAAACCUGGGUGGGUUAAUGGCGAACGGGUGAGUAAUGUAUCGGAACGUGCCCAGUCGUCGGGGGAUAACUGCAGCGAAAGCUGUGCUAAUACCUGCAUACGAUCUAUGGAUGAAAGCGGGGUGACCUGUAAGUGCCUCGCGCGAUUGGAGCGGCCGAUAUCAGAUUAGGUAGUUGGUGGGGUAAAGGCCCACCAAGCCGACGAUCUGUAGCUGGUCUGAGAGUGACGACCAGCCACACUGGGACUGAGACACGGCCAGACUCCUACGUGGAGGCAGCAGUGGGGAAUUUUUGGACAAUGGGCGCAAGCCUGAUCCAGCAAUGCCGCGUGCAGGAUGAAGGCCUUCGGGUUGUAAACUGCUUUAUCGUACGGAACGAAACGGUGAGCUCUAAUACAGUUUGCUAAUGACGGUACCGUAAGAAUAAGCACCAGGCUAACUACGUGCCAGCAGCCGCGGUAAUACGUAGGUGCGAGCGUUAAUCCGGAAUUACUGGGCGUAAAGCGUUGCGCAAGGCGGUUAUUGUAACGACAAGAUGUGAAAAUCCCACGGGGCUCAAACCUGGGACCUGCAUUUUGUUAGACCUGCAUAGACUAGAGUCACAGGCAAAACGGGGCGAUGGCAAUCACAGAUGUUAACAGCUGAACAAUGCGUAAAUUUUCAGACGAAAAACACGAAUGGCGAAGGAAACCCUCGAAACUGUACUGAACCUCAUGCACCAAAAACCUCGGGA
rnacentral:rRNA from 1 species